rnacentral:lncRNA from 1 species
AUGCUGAGGCAGGAAGGGUACACUGGGAUCGGUCCCCCAGAAACCCUUGGGCUGCUCAUGGCACAGGAUGCGACUAGACAGUGCCACUGCACAGUUGCCAUGUGCACCAAUGCUGCCACUGGCGUGCUAUGUGAGCCUGGGCCGUCUACACCAUCUCCCUGCGCCUUGGCCACCAGGUCAGGGAGUGACGUCCCGGGCCAUGCUCCGCCCCCAGCUUUGUGCCAGCUCUACCCUGCAUCACAGAACAGAACCAUGUGUCUCCCCCACAACACGAGCACCCUCCCUCCAGAUGUCUGCUCUCAGCCGACACCCAGCAUGGAGACGUUUGCGCACAUCUGCAUGGCGCAGCCUGGCUCGCUCUGCAAAGCCCAGAUGUUUGGGCAGUGUGUGGACUCCCCUUUCCGGCCUCCCAGGAGUGGGGUGGGGGGCGCGGCGUGCUGUGUGGAACAUCUGUGGUUGCAGGGAGCCCAGCCCUGGCCCUCACUAAGGCGGGCCUCUGACCAGGGGCCCUCCACAUACGAGAUGGGGGUGGAGACAGUCACCUCGGCUUCUGGCACCCCAGGGCCUGCAGAAUGUGACAGCCAGCUGGCCCCCUUGCCAGGAGGCAGGCAGGGGUGGAGAGACACUCAGGGCUGGUGGGGGGCACGGGGACCUCUGCAGAGCUGGAGCUUGGGGGCAGGAGUGAGACCUGGUUCUGGCCCUGGCUCAGCCGUCCGAUUACUGUGUGCCUCCCUCCUUCGGCCUGGCUUCCCACAUCUGCGCAGUGUGGGGCCUGGGCAUCCAGCCCCCGUGCCCAUGGAAAGCCUGGCAGAUGCCAGCCCUCCCUCCCUGGUCAGCACCACCACUGAUUCUGGUUCACCAGGUGUGCACUGGGUGUGCUGCGCCAGGGACUCUGACCCAAGCCCCGAGGUGUGCCUCCAGGUAUGGGAACCUGCUGACCUGCGGGGGCCUCCAUGGUGCUCAUGGUCGCUCCGGGAGGCUGGAAUCAGCCUGCUCUGGCCUCCAGACAAGCACAGGUGGGCAGAGAUGUCUGCAGAACACCGGGAGCCUGGGUGGUGCCAGCAGCAUGAGGAUGGGCAGGAAGACGUGUGUAUGCCCCAGGGGGUCUGGGUGUGCUCCUCUGUGUGGUGGGGACUGUGUGCCUGGGUGCACAUGUCAUCACUGCCUUGUGUGAACAUGUGUGUCAUCAAUGCCAUGUGUAUGCUUGUGUGCGUGAGUGUGUGUGUCAUCAACACCGUGUGCUUGCUCCCCAGACUGGGUUCUUGCCACCCCACCGCUCCCUGA